CGAUUUGGGUGACAUCUGAGACGCAGCCGCACAUCAACAAGGGUCCGGGCUCCAGGGACAUGGCGGCGGCCUAUGUGGUGUCGGUGCUGCUGGUGGAGACUGAGAGGAACCAAUGGCAGCCAGCCCAGAGCCCGCUGCUGCUGCUGCUGCUGCCGCUGCCGAGGCAACGAUCCAAAAGGUAGUUCUGGCACUUGGAUACUACUACCUUGGAGCAACUUGUCAUGCCUGCAUUGUGUGGAACCAGUGUUCAAAAUAAAAUGCAAAAACUUCAGGCUGGUGGAGGAGGGAGCACACAACGUCCUGGUACGCCAGGGAGACCAUUUGAUAUGUUAAAUAGAAUAUAUCAUUUCUCUGGAAGGAAGUCUCUAUGCACAACCCACUCUUAAGUAAGACUUUUUUUUUUGCUUUCCAAAAUGGAUCAAGAUGCUUAUUUUGGAUGAAGCCAGUAAAAAUGUUGAGCCAAAGGAUUAAAGGUCAAAUCCACGAGAUUUACCAGAAAUCAAAUACAAGGACUCGGGUUGUGUUGCUUUCUGCCUUAAUGCCAAUUGAUAUGCUGAAGACCUCAAAAAGUUCCUGAGAAAUCCACUUCAAAUUCUAGUGAAGAAAGAAGAACUGACCUUUGAAAAGAAUUGGCAGUGGGAGUCAAUUUGGGAGGAAGGCUGUGGCCAUAAACAUUGAAGAAGAAGAUCCUUUGUGACACUGAGCCUUUCUACCAUACUACACUGGAGGAAAUGCCAAUGAAUGUGGCUGACCUAAUUUAAUCCCUGGGAUGAAAUGGUUUUGAAUGUAGUGCUUGCUGUUGGUGAAUAGGUAAUCACAAGGUGCAUCAUGCUUCUUUUGGGGGAAAUAUGUGAAGCUUUGUCUCAAUGCUCACAACAGAUCAAAAAUAUAGAUUUUUGAUAGCAAAGCAGCUUCAGCCAUGAGCUCAUGUGAGGAAAGUCAUUGGUUUUAUCCUCUUUAGAAUUAGACUGUUGGGGUGGCUAUAAAAGAUGGGCUUGUACCCAAUCGAAAAAUGGGCAGAAGACCUAAAUAUACAUUUCUCCAAAGAAGACAUACAGAUGGCCAACAGGCAAAUGAAAAAAGUCUCAACAUUGAUAAUUAUCAGAGAAAUGCACAUCAAAACUACAAUGUGAUACUGCCUCACACCAGUCAGAAUAGCCAUCAUUAAAAAGUCUACAAAUAGCAAAUGCUGGAGAGGGUGUGGAGAAGAGGGAACCCUCUUACACUGUUGGUGGAAAUGGAAAUUGGUGCAGCCACUAUGGAGAACAGUAUGGAGGUUCCUCAAGAAACUAAAAAUAGAAGUACCAUAUGAUCCAGCAAUCCCACUCCUGGGCAUAUAUCCAGACAAAACUAUAAUUCAAAAAUAUACAUGCACCCCUAUGGUUAUAGCAGCACUAUUCACAAUAGCAAAGACAUGGAAACCACCUAAAUGUCCACACCUAGAGAUGAAUGGAUAAAGAAGAUGUGGUACAUAUAAUACAAUGGAAUACUACUCAGCCAUAAAAAAUGAAAUAAUGCCAUUUGCAGCAACAUGGAUGGAACUGGAGAUUAUCAUACUAAGUGAAGAAGUCAGAAAGAGAAAGAAAAAUACCAUAUGAUAUCACUUAUAUGUGGAAUCUAAAAUAUGACACAAAUGAACCUACCUAUGAAACAGAAACAGAUUCACAGACAUAGAGAACAGACCUGUGUUUGCCAAGGCAGUGGGGGUGGGGAGAGGAGAGAUGGAGUGGGAGUUUGGGGUUAGCAGAUGCAAACUAUUAUAUACAGGAUGGAUAAACAAUGAGGUCCUACUAUAUAGCACAGGGAACUAUAUUCAACAUCCUGUGAUAAAACAUAAUGGAAAAGACUAUGAAAAAGAAUACAUAUAUAUGUAUAACUUAAUCACUUUACUGUAGAGCAGAAGUUAACUCAACAUUGUAAAUCAACUAUACUUCAAUUUAAGAAAAAGAUGGGGUUGUAAAUCUUUCUUAGAAUUUUAUCUCCUAGUUCUCUACACAUGGUUAUAUUGAGUGUUCACUAUCAUUUAAUAAUAUACUUGUUGACUGAAAGAUACAUGCUGUAUAAAAGCAGCCAGUUAUAUUAAACUAGUAUAUCUGCUGUUAUUGUGUUAGUCAUUAGACUGAAUGGAACUAACUUUAAAAUGAUUUUUUAAUAAAAUAUUUGAAUUUAUUUUGUUCAGUAUCGUUUUUAUUCAGUAAGGCAUUUUAUUAGUGGUAAGUUUAGACUCUUGCUAAACACCAGCAACAAUCAUGUCCUACAGUUAAAUCUCAG